rnacentral:rRNA from 1 species
AUUGAACGCUGGCGGCAGGCCUAACACAUGCAAGUCGAACGGUAACAGAGUGCAGCUUGCUGCUUUGCUGUGGCGUGUCGGGCGGGUGAGUGGUGUCUGGCGAACUCUACUUUGGCGUGGGGUAACUAGUAGAGACGCUAGCUCUUAUAGCGUAACGUCGCAACAGCAGAGAGGGGGGGAUUCUCGGCUCUUGCGCUCGUAUAUGCCCCGAUGGGAUUAGCUAGUAGGUGGGGUAAAGGCUCACCUAGGCGACGAUCUCUAGCUGGUCUGAGAGGAUGAGCAGCCACACUGGAACUGAGACACGGUCCAGACUCCUACGGGAGGCAGCAGUGGGGAAUAUUGGACAAUGGGCGCAAGCCUGAUGCAGCCAUACCGCGUGUGUGAAGAAGGCCUUCGGGUUGUAAAGUACUUUCGGCGGGAAAGAAAAGAGUCAGGUUAAUACCUCGCUUCAUUGACGGUACCCGAAGAAGAAGCACCGGCUAACUCCGUG